GAUCGGCAAAAGUCGAAAAGCCGAAAUGCCGAAAACCGGUAUUUUGUAGAUUUGCGAGUGUGCGAAUGCUCGUGAGGUAAAUCGAUUAAUGUUUUUGGUAAGCUGCAAAAUUUGGACUGCAAAGUGCAUGAUUUCUGUGCCCUCGAUAUUUUUGGGCUUAAUGGGCCAAAAUUGGAAUGAUGGGCCAACGGGCCCAAUUCGGUAAUCCCCAACCAUAGUGGGCUUGGAGCUGUGAGGGAAUUCGGAGUGGCCACCCGUUCUGAAAGUUUGAUUUUCUUCUAGUGAACUGGACAUCCUUUUAAUUACGUUUGAGGUUUUGGGCUUUUAAAUGUAAUAAGGCCGCUUAUUUAUUUUUGA